GACGCUGGCGGCGUGCCUAACACAUGCAAGUCGAACGGUAACAGGUCCUUCGGGACGCUGACGAGUGGCGCACGGGUGAGUAACGCGUGGAUAUCUGCCCAUCGGCAGGGGACAACUUGGAGAAAUCCAAGCUAAUACCGCAUACGACCUACGGGUGAAAGCGGGGGACCUUCGGGCCUCGCACCGAUGGAUGAGUCCGCGUCUGAUUAGCUAGUUGGUGGGGUAAAAGCCUACCAAGGCGAUGAUCAGUGACUGGUUUGAGAGGAUGAUCAGUCACACUGGAACUGAGACACGGUCCAGACUCCUACGGGAGGCAGCAGUGGGGAAUAUUGCACAAUGGGGGAAACCCUGAUGCAGCGACGCCGCGUGCGGGAAGAAGGCCUUAGGGUUGUAAACCGCUUUCAAUUGGGAAGAAGAGAUGAGAGUUAAUACCUCUCUGAUUUGACGGUACCUUUAGAAGAAGCACCGGCUAAUUUCGUGCCAGCAGCCGCGGUAAUACAAGCCGAAU
rnacentral:rRNA from 1 species